AGGACGAACGCUGGCGGCGUGCUUAACACAUGCAAGUCAAGGGGGCCCAGCAAUGGGCAACCGGCGAACGGGUGCGUAGCACGUGAGCAACCUACCGAAAUGUGGGGGAUAGCCGGCCUAACGGCCGAGUAAUACCGCAUACGCUCUCGAUGAGGCAUUUCAUUGAGAGGAAACCUACGGGACAUUUCGAGGGGCUCGCGGCCUAUCAGCUAGUUGGAGAGGUAACGCUCACCAAGGCAACGACGGGUAGC
rnacentral:rRNA from 1 species